rnacentral:rRNA from 1 species
AUUGAACGCUGGCGGCAUGCCUUACACAUGCAAGUCGAACGGUAACGGGCCUUCGGGUGCCGACGAGUGGCGAACGGGUGAGUAAUGUAUCGGAACGUACCUUUCAGUGGGGGAUAACGUAGCGAAAGUUACGCUAAUACCGCAUAUUCUGUGCGCAGGAAAGCAGGGGACCUUCGGGCCUUGCGCUGAUUGAGCGGCCGAUAUCAGAUUGGCUAGUUGGUGAGGUAAAGGCUCACCAAGGCGACGAUCUGUAGCGGGUCUGAGAGGAUGAUCCGCCACACUGGAACUGAGACACGGUCCAGACUCCUACGGGAGGCAGCAGUGGGGAAUUUUGGACAAUGGGGGCAACCCUGAUCCAGCCAUGCCGCGUGAGUGAAGAAGGCCUUCGGGUUGUAAAGCUCUUUCGGCCGGGAAGAAAUCGUAUCAGCUAAUACCUGGUGCGGAUGACGGUACCGGCAUAAGAAGCACCGGCUAACUACGUGCUAGCCGCCGCCGUAAUAC